UACAGAGGGUGCAAGCGUUGUUCGGAAUUACUGGGCGUAAAGGGCUCGUAGGUGGCCAACUAAGUCAGACGUGAAAUCCCUCAGCUUAACUGGGGAACUGCGUCUGAUACUGGAUGGCUUGAGUUUGGGAGAGGGAUGCGGAAUUCCAGGUGUAGCGGUGAAAUGCGUAGAUAUCUGGAGGAACACCGGUGGCGAAGGCGGCAUCCUGGACCAACACUGACACUGAGGAGCGAAAGCCAGGGGAGCAAACGGG
rnacentral:rRNA from 1 species